rnacentral:rRNA from 1 species
GACGAACGCUGGCGGCGUGCCUAAUACAUGCAAGUCGAGCGCAGGAAAUCGACGGAACCCUUCGGGGGGAAGUCGAUGGAAUGAGCGGCGGACGGGUGAGUAACACGUAAAGAACCUGCCCUCAGGUCUGGGAUAACCACGAGAAAUCGGGGCUAAUACCGGAUGGGUCAUCGGACCGCAUGGUCCGAGGAUGAAAGGCGCUCCGGCGUCGCCUGGGGAUGGCUUUGCGGUGCAUUAGCUAGUUGGUGGGGUAAUGGCCCACCAAGGCGACGAUGCAUAGCCGACCUGAGAGGGUGAUCGGCCACACUGGGACUGAGACACGGCCCAGACUCCUACGGGAGGCAGCAGUAGGGAAUCUUCCACAAUGGACGAAAGUCUGAUGGAGCAACGCCGCGUGAGCGAUGAAGGCCUUCGGGUCGUAAAGUUCUGUUGUAAGGGAAGAACAAGUGCCGCAGGCAAUGGCGGCACCUUGACGGUACCUUGCGAGAAAGCCACGGCUAACUACGUGCCAGCCGCCGCGGUAAUAC